AAUGAAUUGCCUGAUUAAAGGAUUACUUUGAUAGAGUAAAUAAUAUAGUUAAACUAUAUUCAUUA
rnacentral:tRNA from 1 species